rnacentral:rRNA from 1 species
UAGGGAAUCUUCCACAAUGGACGCAAGUCCUGAUGGAGCAACGCCGCGUGAGUGAAGAAGGUUUUCGGACCGUAAAGCUCUGUUGUUGGUGAAGAAGGAUAGAGGUAGUAACUGGCCUUUAUUUGACGGUAAUCAACCAGAAAGUCACGGCUAACUACGUGCCAGCAGCCGCGGUAAUACGUAGGUGGCAAGCGUUGUCCGGAUUUAUUGGGCGUAAAGCGAGCGCAGGCGGAAGAAUAAGUCUGAUGUGAAAGCCCUCGGCUUAACCGAGGAAUUGCAUCGGAAACUGUUUUCUUGAGUGCAGAAGAGGAGAGUAGAACUCCAUGUGUAGCGGUGGAAUGCGUAGAUAUAUGGAAGAAUACCAGUGGCGAAGGCGGCUCUCUGGUCUGCAACUGACGCUGAGGCUCGAAAGCAUGGUAGCGAACAGGAUUAGAUACCCUUGGUAGUCCAUGCCGUAAACGAUGAGUGCUAAGUGUUGGGAGGCUUCCGCCUCUCAGUGCUGCAGCUAACGCAUUAAGCACUCCGCCUGGGGGAGUACGACCGCAAGG